rnacentral:rRNA from 1 species
GAGCACGUAGGUGGGUUUGUAAGUCAGAUGUGAAAGCCUUCUGUUCAACGGAAGAAUUGCAUCUGAAACUACAAACCUUGAGUGUAGGAGGGGAGAAUGGAACUUCUGGUGGAGCGGUGAAAUGCGUAGAUAUCAGAAGGAACGCCGGCGGCGAAAGCGAUUCUCUGGCCUAUUACUGACACUCAGUGUGCGAAAGCUAGGGGAGCAAACGGGAUUAGAUACCCCGGUAGUCCUAGCCGUAAACGAUGGGCACUAAGUAGAGGGGUUUU